GAAGAAUCCUUCUCACGCGGAAAUCUAUUUUCUAUCGAUAUCACGUGUUCCAAGUUGAUGCCUGUUCUGGUGAGGUUAAUAUUUUAAACUUUGUAAUUUGUGAUAAAUGUUGGUACAAGUGUGAGGUUAAUGCCAUACAAACUAGUUUAAAAGUGGACUCGUGUUCCAGUGAAGUCGUGUUUAGUUCCAAGGCGGUAUUCCUAACAUUUAUGUGUAAGUAUUUUUGAUGAGUGUGUGGUCUAUCCGGAGUGUUUUUAUUAUUGUUUGGACCCUUGCCUUACUCCUCUGAACAGGGUUUAUUUUUUUUAAAAUUUGCGACGAUUACUGUUCCUGUUGUGUUCAAUGUAUUAUUUAAUCUUAAUAUAUAUUUGUAUCAUAGGUCGAAGAAUGUGUUGUACUGUCCAUAAACGGACAUAUUUCUUCAUAUGCCUGUAUCUUAGCAUACACAGUCAACGAACAAUUUUUGAGUAGCUGAAGAAAGCUAGCAAAGACUAACGGUGCAAAUGUUGUUUACAACUUCCAUACUUGAUCGGAAUCUUGGACGAAAGUUCAAUCGUUUGGAGUUUGGCCUCAUGUAUACGUUCCUACAUGGCAACCUUCUUGACAAAACAAAGGUAUAAGGGGGUAAAAGGAUCACGUUACACACAAACGAUAAAGAAAUAUGAUUUGCAGGACCUGAUCAUUUCUGGUUUUUGGUAUUGGUUGUUUCCAAAAGGUUGGUAACGGGUAUAUCACAACCCACGGAGGGAAAAACAAUGAGCUUGUCGUUUCAAUAUUUGAAAAUAAAGGGAAAACAUAUAUGGUUACACCCCGUUUUGCAAUGCAGAUGGACCUUGAUUAUUAAUCUGACAUAUACACGAUUCAAAGUAGGUCUUGGAACAGACCACUACUGUUCAGACGUUAUAUCAUUUAUGGUGGUUGCGUUGAUGCAAGGUUAAACAAAAUGUGUAUUCAUAGCUUCGUGUGUAUUAAGCCAGCAUUCAAUGUUGGCUUUUGACGCUAAGGACUUAAAAUUUGAUUCCAGACAGAAUUUAUAAAGGUGUGGUCAAGGCCAUUGAUGCCACGGGACAGAAAAGUGAUCGUAUGGUAUCACCGGGGGUAAUCAUCGAUCCUCUUCCACCCAAAGGUUACGCUUGUAACCAAUUGUAACCGAUUUGAAAAAAAAAUCAGUUAAUAUCAUUGCAUUGUUAGAGAAGUCGAAGAAUCUUCGGACGAAGACCAAUGUUGCACAUUUAGACAAAGAUGCAAUAUAAAGAAUUGGAGGGUCUAUUGAAAAUACUUUUGCAGAUUUGGUUUUUCUUCAAACAAUUGUUUCAUGACCAGAGUCCAAUCUGCUCUAAAUGAAAAACACGUUACUGCAAAUGAUUAUAUUAAUUUUAAAAUAUCUUAGAAACAAUUUAUUUACAAAACUAUGCCACUUUUAUUGAAAACAAAGCAAGAGCACUUCGUGUUCAGCAAAUAAGACUGGACAAAUGUUCUCUUGAAGACAGUGGCAACUGCUCGCGGACUAACAUUACACAAUACAGAAACAUUAAACGUACAUGUCAGGGCUACAAACACAGGACAACAUAGAGGUGAGGCCGUUCACGCCACCCUAUUCACCAUCAUCCAUCCUCCUGUCUUGUCAGGAAUUCCAAUGCUUGCAUCUCGAAAUGACCAUAUUAUUCAUAUCGACUAGAAACAAACAAUCCAUACACUUCCGGAAAUUCCAGUUUUGCAUUGCCCAUUUGUGGGAUCAAAAGAAGGAUUCACCGACAUUCUUGACCUCAGCUUUUACACCUGACAUACGUAUGACAUUUUCGCUCCGUCGUCUACGAUAAUUUCUCCGAAGAUAUCAGAGUUGUUCCUUACUAUAACAUGUAUAUAUCCAACAGGGAUUUCGAGUGCUAACAGGACAAUAUUCACAAUGUAAUAAUUUACUUGUUCUACUGUCUUUACCCAGUGCCAUUAAACCGGGUUUAUGUUUAAACCUUUUGCUACUGAGCUUGUUUCUGUAGUUUUUCACAUAUGGGUAUUGGUUGUGGCAAUGCGUAAUGUUGCAAAGCUGUUGUUUGUUAUAGUUCAUUAUUUAGCAUUUAAUAUAUUCAUAGAUGAGCCUUACUGUAGUUUGAUUUUUCAUCUUAUUUUUGUUCUUGAAAUUUAUUCCAUUUUAAUGUCAUGUAUCAUUUAAACGUCAACUGUCGAACGACAGUUAAAGAACAAUGAACAGUUCGGAUUUCAUUUAAUAAUUAUUUUAUGUUAUUCCGUCCAUUGUAUUUGCUGUUUGGUUGUGUAGUAUAUAUUUUCCUUGUGGCUUAUGUACUAUGCGUAUGUUUACUUUUUAUAAGUUCGUGUACUUUUAUAGGAUUCCGUCCAAUGUAUUUGGUGAAUAAUUAUCUAUGUUGGUGUUUAUAGUUCUUUUGGCUUAGAUUUCCAUUGAUUUACGUUUUAUA